UAUAUAUGAGAAAAAGAAAUGCAAUGGUAAAAGUAAAAAAAAAAGGAAUAUAAAAAGCUGUUUUCAGGUUUAUAUAGUCAGAGAGAGAGAGAGAGAGAGAGAGAGAGAGAGAGAGAGACAGAGACAGAGACUUACUUUAAGGCAUAAGGGGCAGGACCACCUAACCCCAAUGCCCAGCCCCCUCACCCUCUGAAGAGACACUAAAGCACAUUUACUCUCUCUCUCACUCUGGCUCUCAGUGCCUAUGUCCAGACUGCUGCUUCAGACCUCACCGCCCCUUUCCAUUCAAACCAACUUUAAGCCAGACUUCUGAGUGUGUGAGCCAGCAUUUCAUCAACAGUCUGCUGUGCACUUUCAGGAGCCUCUUAAUUUGUUAAAGUUUCAGCUGGAGAAAAGUGACCAACAGUGACCAUGAUGAGGAUCAUACUACUGCUUCUGGUCACCCUGACGGGGCCUUUCUGUACCUUUACCCAAGCAAGCAUGUGCUGAUACAGUGUUUCUCUCAUGUGGACCCAGUGCUGGGAAAAUGAUGUAAUGGUGCAAUGAGUGUAAUUCCGGUUUUGAGUACUCUGGUGGUGCCAACAGCUAUUGGUUCAACUCCACAACCAAAUCUUGCAUCAGAUUCACCUACUUUCACAUACACAACAGAGGUAACAUCUCCUCAAGAUGCUGUUUCAACGUCAGAGCCUGCUCCUGAGGUUACAGAAGCAGCUGCCACGACAGAAGAAGUGCCAAUGGUUUCCACAACAGCAUCAGUGAUACAAAGCAGAAAUGCCUGA
ensembl:lncRNA